rnacentral:rRNA from 1 species
UACAGAGGGGGCAAGCGUUGUUCGGAAUUACUGGGCGUAAAGGGCGCGUAGGCGGCCUUCUAAGUCGAACGUGAAAUCCCCGGGCUCAACCCGGGAACUGCGUCCGAGACUGAAAGGCUCGAAUCCGGGAGAGGGAUGUGGAAUUCCAGGUGUAGCGGUGAAAUGCGCAGAUAUCAGGAGGAACACCAACGGCGAAGGCAGCACUCUGGGCCGGUACUGACGCUGAGGAGCGAAAGCGUGGGGAGCAAACAGG